CGCCAAGCUGGGAGCGGGGUUGCAGGCAGGAGCAUAGACGGGAGUAGGUUUCACGGAGACUUCCAGCGGCCCCGCCUUUUCCGAGAAGGGAAACCUUUCCUCCUCUUGUGUGGAGGUGAGCUCUACCAGCUAAGGCUUCCUUGUGCUCACAGCUGUUUUCCCAGCCCAAGGAUGGGACUCCAGGCCUCAUACAGCCUGGCAGAUAUCCACUAGGCUCAACUUCUGAAUUCAAGUCACUGCUUGAUUUCAUGACCUCCAAGAAGCCCUCCUAUCAUUACAGCAUGACUUUUAACUGCUUUUGGGCACAGGGUCUCUAUGCAGCCCAGGCUAUCCUCAAACUCUCUUCUCAGCCCCGAGUGCUGGGAUUUCAGUGUGACCCACCACUGCGUGGCUUGACACCCUCUCAGCAGAAUUCUCUGUUAAUAGUUAUCACUUAUUGGCAUUUCGUAUAGUGUUGACUCUUUAUGGUAUGUAUCCCCAAAUACAUCAGUUCUCUGAAGGGAAAGGAA